GGAGAGGUGCCGGAGUGGCCGAUCGGGGCGGUCUCGAAAACCGUUGUGGCACUUGUGUCACCGUGGGUUCGAAUCCCACCCUCUCCGCCA
rnacentral:tRNA from 1 species